GAAAUGGGAGUGCUCUAAGAGCAAUAUAUUCUGUUACAAGUGUUACUCCUCUUUUCCUUUUGAACUUGCAGCUCCAUGACUUAAAUUGCUCUUCAAACAAAAAUUCAAAGAACUUUAAAACCACUCUUGGGAACAGGUAGAUGGGUGCAGUGACAUUCUGACAGUGACCACCUAGAUUUAGGUGAAGUUUCACAGGUGAAGGACACAGUUCCCACUAAACUGUCUUCAUUUCAAACAACUACCACAAGUUAAGGAAAGCCCCAAACCACCCAUACUUCUGACCAACUGGCUACAAAUUUGAGUGUCUCCACUCCCCUUCACGUUCAGUCAUUCACUAGAACAUCUCUCAGAACUCAGAAAAGCACUAUAGUUGCCAUUAAAGUUUUAUUAUGAAGGCUACAGAUCAGUACUAGCCAAAAGGAGAGAGAUAUAGGGUAAGAUAUGGGAGGGUCGCAAAGGCAGAGCUUCCAUGUCCUCAGGACAUAUCACCUUCCCAGCACAUUGCUGCGCAUCACCAACUAGGAAUCUCACUCAGACAUCAGUGUCCAAAGUUUUUGUUGGAGUUUCAUUAACUAUUAUGACUGAUUGAAUUAUUGGCCACAUGAUGUGAUUGAACUUAAUCUCCAACCUCCUCCUCUCCCAAGAGUUCAAACUGAUAUCACGUGUCUCAGAGCCCUAAUUCUCUACAUGGUUGGUCUUUCUGGCAUGGCCGGUAUCAUCCUGAAACUAUCUCGGGGGCCCACCAUGAGUCACCUGGUUAAACAGAAACUCACGUGUGAUCAGCGAGAUCUACCAUGCAGGACAAAGACACUUGCAGAAACUCCAAAGCUUAGAGGCUCCCGGGAACUGGUGACAAAGACCAAGUGAAUCCUUCAU
rnacentral:lncRNA from 1 species